rnacentral:rRNA from 1 species
UACGUAGGGGGCUAGCGUUGUUCGGAAUUACUGGGCGUAAAGCGCACGUAGGCGGAUCGUUAAGUCGGGGGUGAAAUCCUGGAGCUCAACUCCAGAACUGCCUUCGAUACUGGCGAUCUUGAGUCCGGAAGAGGUGAGUGGAACUCCUAGUGUAGAGGUGAAAUUCGUAGAUAUUGGGAAGAACACCGGUGGCGAAGGCGGCUCACUGGCUCAUUUCUGACGCUCAGGCGCGACAGCGUGGGGAUCAAACAGG